GUGCUCACUGCGGCAGCACAUAUACUAAAAUUGAAAUGAUACAGAGAGGAUUAGUAUUGUGCCUGUGCAAGGAUGAAACACAAAUUCAUGAAGCUUUCCAUAUUUUU